UCUGUUUGGGAAGCUUCAAAGAGCCAUGGUUUACAUCCAUGCAUUAAGCCAACUGCAAAAUACAAAGCUGCUCUAGGGUGGAAACGCUACUUGACUGUAAAAAGUAAUGGUGGAUUAAAUCAAAUGAGGACGGGUAUAGCUGACAUGGUGGCAGUGGCACAUGUGAUGAAUGCAACUUUGGUAAUUCCUCAAUUGGACAAGCGUUCAUUCUGGCAAGAUUCAAGAUAUAUUUGAUGAGAACCAUUUCAUCAAAGCAUUAAGAGG
rnacentral:misc_RNA from 1 species